CCAUGCACAUUCUCGUCUGGACGAUGGAUUCGGUGAGUUUAGUGUGAAGAAAUUCAUCGUCCAGACGAGAUGAUUCCGAAAACUCGGGAUAGAUUGAAAAGUUUAGUACGGGUCAAGUAGUUAUACGCAUCAAGAAGCUGUGAUGAAACUCUUAAACCAGGAGAUCAGAUCGUACUUACCAUUCAACAUGGUUCUCUUCCGAAAUGUUAUCAGCUCCCAUUAACAAGGAAGAAUAAAAACUUUGAACAAGUGAGUAACAUAUCUUUUCUGGACGCUCUUUUGAUUCUGUGCCUUUAUGGGAUGUGCACGUCUGUAUGGUUUCCUGCGAUCAAAUAUAAUACGGCAUAUUUCCAUCUGUGUCAGAAGAAAGAAAUUUUCCACAGAAAUAAGACAACGCUGGUUGUUCAUGAAUGGACUAAACCGGGGUCAUGUCCUGGUCUUUUUUUUGGCGUUUUUCCUUUCCUUAUUUUUUCUUAUAUUUCAAUUAAAUUUAUUUCAAGUAAAUUUUUGUACACUUUAAGAAUCUCGAAAAUGAAAUCGCGCGGUGCACAAUAUAAAAUGGUCGUGUAAGAGUAUAGGUAAUAGAGAUAUGUAAAUACAUAUAUGGUAAGCUAGUCGGUAGGCCACCUGUACAUCAAAAACAUAAAAGGCCAGCUAGAGUAUAAAAGAAAGCAAAAUAAAUAAGAAGCGGUUGAUUCGGAGUCAGUUUGAAUUGAGCAAGCAGAGAGACAAACACGGAAAAAGAGAAUCCUUUCGACCGCGUAAGUGUGCGUUCGGUUCGGAGAAUUCGCAAAUGAUAAAAAACGGAAUAAUUGAUAAGUGAACGGUGCGAGCGUGCAUUAUUUGAUUAGAAAGGUGAGCAUACCUUUUAACAGAAAACUCAUGUGAAUUAAUUUGUUUUGUUAAAUAUAUCUUUAUUGUUUUUCAAUAAGAUCUUUUAUUUUCUAAUACCGGACUAUCGAUCAUCCUGAAUCUUACAGUCGUGUUUUCUCUCGGUUGCUUGAUUUUGCAUUCUUACGAUUUAGCGUGGGAUAGCUCGUCGAAUAUGCCGAGAAUCUUGUAAAACAAUAAAGAAAUAUGAUAACAAAUAUAUUCGUAGCUGAGCCAUAUCUGCAAAAUCAAUAAAAAUGUAGAUUAUGUUACAAUGUAGGUUAUAAUGUAGGUUCUGCUUUUGUACUUUUUUGAACAAAAAAUAUUUUUUUAACAGCUAAAUAUAAGGAAAUUACAAUGCCCAAAACAAAAAAAAUUUACGCGAUUUAUCUCGCAGACAACAAAAUCGACAUUUAUUGCUUCAUAUGAAGUCUGUUACAUGUAAACAAAAUAUUCUUCAUAUGAAAAAUUCUACUCAUACGGAAUGUACGGAUGAAGAUACUUUUAAUACAAUAGGAUCACUUAAUAUAAUAAAUAAAGCAAUAAACGAGGUCCACUUAGAAGAUGAUGUUGUAGAUAAUGUAUUACAUGUAGAAAAUAUAAAUAUAGACUGUAUCAUAGAUAGUACCAUAAGUAAAGAAAAAAGAACUUUAAAUGAAAAGUUGUGUACAUGGGCUACUGAGUAUAACAUUACCCAAAAAUCUUUUACGGCUUUAUUGCAUAUAUUAAAAGAAAAUGGUCGUAAUGAAUUACCCGGAGAUGCUAGGUCACUUCUAAAAACACCAAAGAAAACAAUCACUCGCGAGUGUGAAAAUGGGCAUUAUUUCCAUUACGGUUUGGAAAAAGCGCUGAA